CGGCACCGCCCAGCGGGCAGAGCCGCUCUAGGCACGCAGUGUGGUCUCGUCUCGUUGGCCCCGGCGCUGACGGCGCCCACACGGUACGCUGGAGCGGAGGCUGUCCUACGUGCUGCUCCCACGCUCUUCUCCCACACCUCCGCGAAAAAGGCGCGGGCCGCGCACCUUCCAACGGGAAGAGGCUCAAGGUCCCUCCCUCAGCCGUCACGGCUUCCCUCCGUGGCCCAUAAUCCCCUGGCGCGGGGGUUGUUUCCGGUGGCGGGGCUCUGAGCCCUUCACCUUUCCGUAACCAGGCGUGGUGCUGGCAAUGCCUCUCUCUCAUCGCCUCGUCGUAAAAAUAUUGCGUUAAAAAAACUCAGUUUGUUAUGCGAGCAGCAUUCCAACAGUACACAAUAAUAUCAGAAAUAGUUAAGCAAUAAAAAAAAAAAAAGUCGGGCGUGGUUGAGGCAGGAGGAUUACAGCGAAUUCUAAUCCACCUUGGGCUAAAUACCGAGAUUGUGUCAAAAACCACGGAAUUGGGGAAAUUAAGUGGAGUACUCUCUACGUUGGGAGCCAAAGAUCCCAUGAAAAUGCCCCAAUAUGUGCUGUUCCUGAUUCUAGAAAUCCUGUACACCAAAGUUCCAAAUUCUCCUGUAUUCUGUCCACAAACCUUUUAUGUCACUCGAGAUCUACGUAAUUGUAUUUAUGACAGCAGCAGCUCCACUUCUAAGUGCCAACUUGUGGGACUACGUAAGAAUGGAGUUGUGUGAGAAUAUGAGUGCUUGUGAGAAAACACCAAGAAAAUAUGAGCCUUGUGAUCUCAGUUCCUUCAAACAUGGAGCCAUUCUUAGAAUGUGCGUUCAUGCUUCUCCCAGGUGUAGCCUUUAGAGUGCAUUUUCUUCAGAUUACUCAUUAAACUGCCUAUUGUUAUUUGUUUAUAUGCCUCUAUGGAAAAAUAUGUUUUUGCCUUGUGCAAUUUGUCCUUGUGAUUGGACACUUUACUCAUGUGACUCCUCUGAACCCUCAGAGUAUAAAUUGUCUGCUGCUCUGAAUAAAGUUGGCUAUUGCAUGA